rfam:Lupinus angustifolius cultivar Tanjil contig_41907, whole genome shotgun sequence.
CCUGCGGUGAUGAGGCUCUAACAUAUUAGGAGAAUCCUUAUUUAGGUUUCUUCGAUGAAAUAUCCAUGUUACGCUUGGCUUCUGAGCUUG